rnacentral:rRNA from 1 species
CAAGAGCGUAUGUAAAAGUUGUUGCAGUUAAAAAGCUCGUAGUUGAACCUUGGGUUUGGUUGGCCGGUCCGCUUUUUUGCGAGUACUGGAUUCAACCGAGCCUUUCCUUCUGGCUAACCAGUCGUUUCGGCGGCUGGCGAACCAGGAUUUUUACUUUGAGAAAAUUAGAGUGUUCAAAGCAGGCAUUAGCUUGAAUAUAUUAGCAUGGAAUAAUAGAAUAGGACGUUAUGGUUCUAUUUUGUUGGUUUCUAGGACCAUCGUAAUGAUUAAUAGGGACGGUCGGGGGCAUCAGUAUUCAGUUGUCAGAGGUGAAAUUCUUGGAUUACUGAAGACUAACUACUGCGAAAGCAUUUGCCAAGGACGUUUUCAUUAA